AAGCUGCUGAGCUGAUCGUCCACCACACAGCGAGUGUCCUCCCCAGUGCUGCCAAGUGGACCCAGGAACAGCCGGCCAUCUUUGGUGUAUCGUCCCAACUGGAGGAGAAACCCAAACCGGCUCAGGGAACAAGACCCCCCGCACGCACGCACACACACACACACACUCUCACUCACUCACACACACUGGUGGCGGAGGCGAGGCCUUAUGUCGUGCCCAAGGACACAACAGCAUUCUCUGGUGGGAGCGGGAUCAAACCUACAACCUUACUGGACAACCCGCUCUACCUCUACCUACUGGGACAGCAGAAGCUCAGGAGGGUGGUGCUCCCCCCUAUCUGGCCACUCUCCUGAACAGACAUUCCCCAUCACGCGCUCUGCGCUCCUCUGACCAAGGCCUGCUCGCUGUCCCUCGUUCUAGGUGUCGUACCCGUGGGGACCGGGCUUUCUCAGUCCUAGCACCGUCACUAUGGAACCAGUUGCCACCCUCAGUUAGGCUGUCCCCCUCUCUGCCAGUCUUUAAGAAUCACCUAAAAACGCACCUCCUCCGCUUGGCGUUUCUGGAACAUGUUUGAUUUUGGCCCUCUUUUAUGUUGAAUCCAUUCCACAGUUUUCAUUGGUACACUCAAUCCAUCCACUCAAUCCAAAUGUGUUUCACACAUUUCUCCUUUACCGGACUGCUUCAUCUAUCUUGUAAUUUGUAUUUUGUAAUUUGAAUUUCUUUUAUUGUUGAUUUAUUCAAUAUAUUUACUUAACUGUACCAUGUUCAGCGCUUUGGGCUUCCUGACAGGGUUGCGGAAGGCGCUUUAUAAAUAAAGCUUUGAUUGAUUGAUGAACACAGCUGAUUUGUUUCGUUUAGUGAUGAAUCCCUCCUGUAGACACUAAUGAAGGGAAGACUUCUCAGCUGUUAGACUAAGGUGUUAAAAAGACAAACGCACAGCGAGGAGAUGGUUUCAUUUUCGGUUUAACCACAGAGAAUUAAUAACGGACACUAGGGGGUGCUAAAUCAAAUCAAAUCAAAGAUACUUUAUUAAUUCUAGAGUGAUAUUAGAGUUUCAGUACACACAAUUCAGAGAUGAGACAUUCAUGGGCAAGACACGUGACAAGAACUGGUGACUGUGGUCAUUCACAACCCUGAGUCGCGCUACCUUAAUAGAGAUCAGAGGGUUACAUGAGGAUUGGUUCAGGUGGAGGGAAAAAGGCACUUCAGAGUUACCCUCCACCAGGAGGGCAGCUUUGCUCUGCAAAAAAACACCUCAGACAGAUAUGCAACAGACUUCAGACAACACAACAUAAGUGUCCACUAGGUGGGGUGGUGGGUUGGGACUAUCCCCACUUCAGUUCCUGCAGCCACGAUAAGCAGCGCAUGUCACCUCAGUGUGGAUAGGGGGAGGAGCAUUGAGGGUUGGAGGGUUGCAGUGACCCUGGAAUGCUUCAGCGGCCUUCCUGCAGUCCCGCCCAGGCUGGGAAAGGAGAGAGUUGAGUUGCCAUAGCGACGGCACAUUCCACAUAUCUUGUGAGGGGGGAGUUUUCGUUGUAGCCUUGCAGGCUCAAGGGCGCCAGAUUCCGACUAGAAAUUGUUUUGGGGCCAGACGGAGAUAAUUUCCUCUCUGUCUUACAGUUUGUUGGUCCUCAACCUCUCAAAAUCCCAAUAAUGGACAUUAAUCUAUCCCAAUCCGUGCUGAUUCGUCCACUCUCUCCUUGAUGGCAUCCAUCUUCUGUGCCAAAAAAUGAAUCUCCACCAAAGUCCCAAGCUUACGAUUCAUCUUGACAUUUAUGUGAGUCUGUGAAUUCACAGCGCGGUGCAAACCAUCUCUGAGCUCUGGGAGCAGGCCAAUAUUCCUCGACAGCUCAUUAAUUUUCCGGCAAGCCAGGUAGCCUCCAAGGCUGAUAAGCAGGAAACCCGACACCAACACCACGAAUAUCCACACGUCUUCAGAGUCCUCCACAGACAGCUGAGAUAAACAAAUCAAGUUCCACUGUUUCCAGGAGUCCAUGAUGUGUCCAACUGGGUCUGUCCCGGUGGGACAUCCGGGAGUCCCUUCUCCCGUUCUCAUCGUUGAAAUUUUUUUUAUCAAUCACGUUGAGAGACCAGCUAACGAGAUCCAUUUUAGUGAAUUUCAGUUUCCAGAAAAAAAUGCAGAAGCAGCCGUGCACCCAGCACACAGAGACAGACAAAGGCGUUGAGGAUAAGAUAUGGAGGAGAGGAGGAAAAGAAGCGUCUGCACCCUCCGAGAGCCGGAAGAAGAAAGAAAAAAGCAAGCAAACUGCCAAAUAUGCCUUUAAGGAUGUUUUGUGUAAUUUCUUUUAGACUUUUCCCACAAUCACAAGCAUUGACUGUUUUACUUCAGUUGAAUCUGAGAGGAUCAGCAGCAGUAAUCGGGUAUGUUCUGUGUGAUUAGUUUAUUCAAGUGUUGGUGCUGCUGUAACAAGUUGAUGUCCCACUGUGGAACCAAUAGUCUAUUCUAUUCUAUUCUAUUCUAUUCUAUUCUAUUCUAUUCUUCAUGUUUGUUUCUAUUAAUUACCUCAGAAACGUUAACCCCGCCAUAUCCAGACCCAAAACUAGUUGCUUUUAUGAGUGAAUUUUAGCUCAGCUAAAAACCUUCAAACAGGAAACAUUUUGUUCUGGCUUGGUUUGGACCUCCGUUGCUGUAGGAAACACAUCGAUGACAUAGCUCUCACCUUUACCUUCAAAGCUUUGAUGGUCUCGGGUCUUUAUUCCCCCUUUCUUCACACCCGUCUCUGCUUUUCGUUCUGGUAGAUUACUCCUUCCAUUUCUUUCGGAUAUGCAUUAUUCCCUCUCCUCUAGUCUGUCCGACCUCAUUUAUCUCAGGACC